ensembl:lncRNA
AAAGAAUCACAUGGUAAUAAAAAGGCCAUCUACAGUGAAUCAACAGGAAAAUCUUCACUAGCAACUGCUCUACACACAGUCCUUGAGCAGAUGGUUCAGAAGGUGUGAACUGGAGGAGUGAUGCCUGUCCCACUGCAAAUGAAGAUCAAGUUCACAACCACCUGAAGAUCCUGAACAUUCAUAAUUCUAUGGGUCUCAUGAGAUGCAACCCAGAGUCCUGAGGGAGCUGACUGAUGUAGUCACCAGGCCACUCUCGAUGAUAUUUGAAAAGUUAUGGCAGUAAAGUCUCCGGUGACUGGAAAGAAGUGUCACUUCGAUAUCCUGAAGCAUAGCUUUGCAUGAGAAAGUGUGAUCAUAAUCUUUUUUAUGCACAUCUGAAGCCAAUCAGAAAUCAGAUGUUGGAAAUGUAUGGAAGUGUUGACUAUUAGGACAAAAAUAUUGAAAGGUCACAGGCUCAUGAAAAUGAAAAAAAAAAGGACUGCACCAGAAAUCUUCAAACAAGAUCAGCAUACUGAAACUAAGAGCACGAUCAAAAACGUGUGGAACAUGACAACAACCCACAAAAGCCUUUGUACCACAAGCCCCAAUUCUCACAGGGACCUGUUACCUCCCUGCCAGCUCCUGGAGGGGUAACAAGGAGGAACCCAAGUUCACUGGCUAUAGCUGGAAAGGUGCCAGCAGGUGGGGAUCUACAGGAGAGCCUCUUUAUCUCCAUGC